GGCGGCGGCUUAACACAUGCAAGUCGAGCGGUAGCACARGRGAGCUUGCUCUCUGGGUGACGAGCGGCGGACGGGUGAGUAAUGUCUGGGAAACUGCCUGAUGGAGGGGGAUAACUACUGGAAACGGUAGCUAAUACCGCAUAACGUCGCAAGACCAAAGAGGGGGACCUUCGGGCCUCUUGCCAUCAGAUGUGCCCAGAUGGGAUUAGCUAGUAGGUGGGGUAAUGGCUCACCUAGGCGACGAUCCCUAGCUGGUCUGAGAGGAUGACCAGCCACACUGGAACUGAGACACGGUCCAGACUCCUACGGGAGGCAGCAGUGGGGAAUAUUGCACAAUGGGCGCAAGCCUGAUGCAGCCAUGCCGCGUGUGUGAAGAAGGCCUUCGGGUUGUAAAGCACUUUCAGCGAGGAGGAAGGUGGUGARCUUAAUACGYUCAUCAAUUGACGUUACUCGCAGAAGAAGCACCGGCUAACUCCGUGCCAGCAGCCGCRGRGUAAUACA
rnacentral:rRNA from 1 species